GGAGCCGGCUUGCUGGCGAUAGCGGUCUACCAUUCAAGAUUUUUAUUGAUUGACACACCACUAUCGCCAGCAAGCCGACUCC
rnacentral:misc_RNA from 1 species